GCUGGCAGCCGACAGCAGCUGUGGGGGACAGAGCACCUUGGGCAUGUGGGGCUGGGCCUGUGGCCCAGGCGGCACAGAAAAGGAAGGUGCU